CCAGCCAGCCGGGCGGCCGCACCAGCAGGAGCCGAAAGGCUGCGGGUGAGGAAAGUCCGGGCUCCAUGGAAACACGGUGCCGGAUAAUGACCGGCGGGGGCGACCCCAGGGAAAGUGCCACAGAAAGCAAACCGCCAUGGCUUGCCAUGGCAAGGGUGAAAGGGUGGGGUAAGAGCCCACCGCGCGACUGGCAACAGGAGCGGCAGGGCAAACCCCACCGGGAGCAAGACCGAAUAGGGAUGGUGUGAAGGGAAACCUUCAGGGCUGUUUCCGGCCCCGCCAUCCGGGUAGGUUGCGUGAGGCGCAUGGCAACAUGCGUCCAAGACGAAUGGCCGCCACGUUUUCGUGCCCUCGGGCGCGAGGGCCAUACAGAACCCGGCUUAUAGGCUGGCUGGCAUU
rnacentral:RNase_P_RNA from 1 species